UCCCGUGUUCCAUUCAGCUGCUGCUAGUGGAGACUUUCAGUCCCCGAAAGGGAAGGUUCUGUGUCCCCGUUUUGUACCAAAUAAGUGAUGGAAGCUUGAUCCUCAGCCUCAUAAACCCUGAAGAAGGAGUGAUUAAAGUCAGAGCGGUUGAGGAUUUUCCCUGACCUCUUAGAAUGCACUGAGUCGCUGGCUUCUCUUCUUGAAAGGGUCUUGCAAACCUACUAUGAUCCCCAGUUCUUGGCAGAGUUAGGAUGAAUUACCAUAUUCUUGGAUUACUGGUGCCCUCUUCUGACAGCAUGGCAAAGAGUUGCAAUCUAAUGAUUAUGUUUUGGAUGUUGUCCUCUAUGUGACUUGGAAUCAGGGAGGCACUGAAUCAAACACAGCUCCAUCUAAUCCACUGCGGUCAAAAGAGAAAUGCACCAAAGAACUUCUUGUGGUGUUUUGACUGAUUCUGGCCACUUCAGCUGACUCCUGCCAAUUUAGCCGAGCCUUGCUGUUUCUGAUGGAUCGAGCUACCACUACUGAUUCAUGUUUGGUGUUUGCUAUUGAUCUAGACUGCUGAUAUGCUGACAAUGAAGAGUGGAAUCACCCGAAGGAACUACUUUUAAACUGGUCUACAACACCCUUUUCCUGUUAACCUUCUUUCUACCCUACAUCUGGUUGGUGGGUUAGAAGAAAGAUUGAAGCAUUUAAGAGCCCUAAAUAAAGUAGGUUUUGAAAAAAAAAUCUAAGCCUAUAUAGGAUAUUAACAGGAUCAAUUUUGGGCAUGGGAACUUGUCAUGGUUGACCUUGAUCGUCAAUUUGAUUGGACCUGGAGUCAACUAGAAGACGUCUGGAUAGAUCUGUGAAGGUUACUCCAGGAUCAAAUGAAGGGUCAGCCCCUCACCCAGAGUGGGCAAUAGUGUCCAGUGGUGGUCCAGGUAUACGGAGAUCAGAAAGACAAGCAGCAGUGCUCGCUGAUCUGCCCUUACUUCCUGGUAGUCACUGGCAGCUCAGGAGUGAGUCCAUCCUAUUUCUGCUACCACCCUGCUCCUCUGUCACUCACACCUAGCAUCUUGGGCUUUCCUAUUGACCGAACACCAGCAUCUCUCCUUAAAUCCUCCAGACCUUCAGAGCCAGACUGGGACUGCUGAGUCAUCCUGAAUUGUGAACUGAGCAGCUGUUGGUUUCUGAGCCUCUCCAGCACACAGCAAGCCUUUGUUGGACUAUCCACUACACACUGUAUGAGAUAGCCUAAUAAAUCACCCCUGUAAUGCAUUGGUCCUGUUCCUCUAGACAACCCUGACAAACACAGAGUUUUGUAGGCUUGUUCCAUCACAUAGUUGCCAUACUCAACGUAUCUAGGGAUUUUUUUUUUUAUCUCCACAAAUACAAGGGUUCUUAUUGCCAAUUACUGGCUGAUGGAAUCCAUAACCUCAUUUCCCUUGCUUUUAGAUAAGUUAAGGUGCAAUUUAUACCCCUGUGUUUUCCUUAGGCUCAGAUGAGGGCUGAAAUUUCAUCUGAGAGUGCUCCUUUGGUGGCACUUUAUGUCUUUAUCAUGCAUCCAAUUCUCAUUUGCAUAGGUGUCCAACCUUUCCACAUGCAGCAUGAUAUUCUAAUCUUCAAAUGUAUUGGGAUACAUUCAUAGCUAUCCUGGACACAUAUGGUCCACAGGCUGCAGGCUGUGCCAUGCUCUUUUGGAGGGUGGUACUUUAAUCAAUCAUAACCAACCCAGAUACUUAACUCAACAUUGGCCUUUGCAGGAACCUAAGACAUGUCCCUUUGUUCCACUUGAAAGAAUCCUAUCUCAUUCAUCUUUCAUGCUUGGGCUGAUCAUUGGACCUAACCAUGUAAAACUCGCUGCAAAUGUUGUUAGGCAUCUGACCACUCUGCAAAUGCCUUUGAAAACAGUCAUGUCUAACUAAUAUGUUUUUGGGUGGGGGUUGUUUUGGUUUUUAUUUGAUUUUGGGUUUGGUUUGGUUUGGUUUGAUUGGUUUGCACAAUGAUAAUAACAGUGUCUUCUCAUGGAGUUUAAUAACUUCUACUGGUAAGGUCGCCAACAUUCAGUGGUUGCAGACAAAUCCUAUACAAGAGUCUGCCACUGAUGCUGCCUGCCCUGCUACUUUUGUAACUCUUAUCUUGUGGUAUCAGGUCUAAGUACAAUAUAUGUAGACUGAUGUUUGUUGGUUGAAUAAAUGAGUAGACAGGAAGAUGUGUAGGCAGAUGGAUGAAAUGGUCAACAAAUAUAAUAAAUAAAAAUGU